UGGGGCAUAUUGCACAAUGGGGGAAACCCUGAUGCAGCGACGCCGCGUGAACGAAGAAGGUAUUCGUAUCGUAAAGUUCUGUCCUAUGGGAAGAUAAUGACAGUACCAUAGAAGAAAGCUCCGGCUAAAUACGUGCCAGCAGCCGCGGUAAUACGUAUGGAGCGAGCGUUGUCCGGAAUUAUUGGGCGUAAAGGGUACGCAGGCGGUUUAAUAAGUCGAAUGUUAAAGAUCGGGGCUCAACCCCGUAAAGCAUUGGAAACUGAUAAACUUGAGUAGUGGAGAGGAAAGUGGAAUUCCUAGUGUAGUGGUGAAAUACGUAGAUAUUAGGAGGAAUACCAGUAGCGAAGGCGACUUUCUGGACACAAACUGACGCUGAGGUACGAAAGCGUGGGGAGCAAACAGG
rnacentral:rRNA from 1 species